UGAAUAUUUUCCAGGGCUGAACUCCUCCUGUAGCCUCUCCACUUAGGAGAGCUGAUAUUUCUUGUGGUGUAAGGCUGCAGAGCUCAGUUUAAUUAGUACUCGUGGGGUGGUUACAAAUCGUAAACCUCAGUUGCAUCUUGAGUGGGAGAACAGACUUAAAAUCUUACUUUUCCUGUGAAUUUAUGUUGUGCAAUCACACAUUCCUUCCCUAAAGCUCUCCCAGGCAGGGUAUUUUUCCUUUCUUGUGUCUAACAGUGUCACCAUUAUCAUCAACCUGCAAAGAAGAAGUGCCAAAGGUUCAUUAAUUUUAAAACCCAAGUGCAGGCGUGGUCGGGGGUGCACAAGCUGCCAGAAGGGGCGGCCAGGUGAGCGUGGAGGCACAGCAGAGCUUGUUAUCAGAAUCCCAGGACUUCUGAUAACAAUCUGGCCAGAGCUCUCUGGGAGCAGAUGUUUCACUGCCUUCCCUCAGAGCACUGCAGCUGCAGCGGCUCCUUGGAGGAACAGGGAAAGCCAAGGUUGAAGGCAGUGAUGUCUGAAAGCAAACCCCCAACAGCACCUGCUGGAAAUUGGGCAGGGCUGACUGAAAGGAGCAGAAUCAUCUCUGGUGGUGUUUAAAUGCAGCUGUUGCUGUGACACCAUCCCAAACCUGUGUUCCUUUGAUCCAGCCUGUGUGUGUCCCGUGCCCUUCCCUGGGAACAGAGCUGUGGUGGGUGGGCUGGAGCAUGGAGGGAAGAGGGAUUUUAAGUCACUUCUGUAGCCUAAAUCCCUAUUUUCCUUUCUGAUCCCUUGUGAUGCUACUCCAAUAUCCAUCCCCUGAGGAAAGGCUGGAACCAAAAGACGGAGCUGCUUAAGGUUGGAACCCAAAAUGGUGGAGCUGUUCCAGCAUGAAAAGCACGGCGCUAAAUCCAUGGGAAGGGGUGGAAGUUGAGUGUGGCACCGUCUCUGCUGAACUACAGAAACUUUCUGCAAUGAAUUGCUCAAUCACUUCAUUUGGAAGAAGAGCAACUGCUAUCAGCUCUAAUUGGCUCACAGAACCCAGGGUGGAGUGGCCCUGUGGGAGCAGCAGCUGCUGCCUCAGUCGGAGAUGUCUUCAUGACUUGCGGGGCAAGUUUGUCAGAGCUCUCCUUUCACAGCUAAAGGUUAAUAAAGGCUCAUGUGGCUGUGCAGAACCACUGGAAGGACAAUCAUGGCACAGACUCUGAGGAAUGGAUCUGGUAACAGUGCUUGCCAGAGGAGGUGUCCAUCCAAAUCAUUCCUGCUUCUUCUCCAGGAGAUCGGAAUCUAAGUCAGGGAUUUAAUGUGCAGUUUAACCUGCAGUUCUUUGUCCAGGUCUCACUGUGUCCAGCACCCAAAUGGAAGAAUCCCUUCCCUAUCUCAAACUCCUCUGGGGCUUUGUGCAGCAUCUCCUUCCCAGCUGGAUUCCCUGGUGAGAGCUGUGCUCCCAAACUGGCACCAUAACCACUUGGCAAUACCAGCAGAAUUGCAUCUGAGCUUCAACCUCAGACCUCCGAGAGCCUCGUACUCAACAUGUUGAACCUGAUCUGACACCAGAGUUGACAGAGAGGGCCUGAUGGGGUUUGAAUGCUCUUAAAACCACACUAAUGCCUCCUAAGAGGGGGAUUAAAUGUUGGGGAUGAGACAGAGCCAGCUCCCCUGCUGUGUGAUCCCACAGACCUUCUCUGGGUGAGCACCUUUGGAGUUAAUCCAAAUAUUCAUGCCUGGAACACAGAUCAACAGGAGGGCUUUUCAUCACAGACUAUGGGAAAAACAGAGGUUCUCCUGGCACCUACUGCUUCUAAACCAGAGUUGUCAUGAUUUGCUUUACAAAGGUAAUGCAGAUGGUUUUAGAUAUGGAUUCAAUUUUCAAGUGCCCCCGAGCUUUAAGCAUCCACUUCAGUAAUCCCUUAUUGGAAUUUGGGUGGACUUUUUACAGUCUGAAUUAAAAGCCUUGUUAAAUCUAAUUGAAUUUCUUCCAUGAUUUAAUGUGGAAAUGGUGAAGAACAGAUAAUUGUGUGUUAGUUAAAGAAAUCUAUAUGAUGAGUUAAAUAUCUAUGACUUCUGGGAAGGCCUGAAAUUCCCUCACUAAAUCUUUCUCCUGGCAUUGAAACCACCUGAAUAUUUUUCCAACAUUGAAGUGUUUUGCUUCCCAACGCCCCUGGGGAAUGGAGAAACCAAGUGGGUAACACCCAUUUUGUGCUUCUCUUUCCAAAAGUGUCCUUGGGCAGUUGAUGCUGGACCCAAGUGCUCUGCAAAUCUCUCCUCUCAUGGUUUCCCCAGUGACACUUCUGGGCUUUUUUUGGGAGACUUUGGAGGAGUUGUCUUGGUUCCUGAGGGAUGGGCAGGGAUCCAGACCUCUGAGACUGUGCCAUGAGAUUAUAUCUCCUGCAAGGCUGUUUGGGAGCACUUCUACUUGCUGCAGACAGGUUUAAUUUAAUUUAAAUAAAAGGAAUAAAUCCCCCAGGAAUAAAGUGCUGUUAGUUCCUUGUGAAAGCUUAGGAUUAUCACCCAUCUCUGUUAUUUCUCCUGUGUAAUUCCUGCAUUUUUGGUGUUUCUGUACAUUUCUUCCAGUCCUCUCUGCUGAGGCAUUUCUUCCAAAACUCCUCUCUCAGCAGAGUGUUAUUUAUGAUGCUCUAAAGGUGUUUUGCUGUGGACAACUCGUUCUUAAAUGUUAAUGCAAAUAAAUUGAAAUCUUUGGUUGCAAAGGCCCUGCACUGGAGGGUUGUUAUAACACAUCAUAAAAACCUCUUUUCCAAAGCUCUCCUGGAGGUGUAAAUAAAGCAGGAGGCAUUUCAGGCAGCACUGCUGGGGAUUCUGCCCACAUCCAGAGAGCAGUUAUUAACUAGAGAACCACGAUCUGACCCUGGGACUCGGAGUGAGGGUUCAGGACGAGCCCUGUCCCUCCUCAGCCUGGCUGUGCAGAGCUCCACUCUUCUCUCAGCCUGAUUAGGUGCUGCCUCCAUGCUCAUUAUCCAGAGAGUUCUGAGAAAUGCCUCGUGAAGGGUUCAGCUCUGGUUUCAGUGUGUAAUAAAGGGCUAAUCACCUGUUUAAGAUG